rnacentral:lncRNA from 1 species
UUUAAGUUCAAAAAAAUUAUUAGCCAUAACUUUAGGACAUUUUAUGAUAAGGCUAAUGAUCGACCGUGUCAUGGACAAUUUGCGGUUACUCAAUAACUUAGGUACUUUGUAGACGAAGAAGAUAGUGUACUAUAAUCAAGGCAGAAUACAUAAGUUGUGUACACUUUUUACUUACACAUUCAAUCUUAAUUCAGUUCAUUUGAACAGUUCAAUUACAGCUUAAAUGUGUCAUUUAGACACAAUAUGCUGACAUGGCAGCACUACACUUUUCACUUACACUCCAUCUUAAUUCCGUUCAUUUGAACACUUCAAUUACAGCUUAAAUGUGUCAUUUAGACACAAUAUGCUGACAUGGCAAGUGUUUCUCAUAUUCUUCAAGUGUGUGAAAUCAUUCAAAAAAACAAUCUCCGCACACUUCUUAUCGGAAAAUGUAUAGCUUAUGCUGGAAAAUUUUCCGGUCAUCUUCUUAACCCAAAUUGUUUUUAGAUUUGUUCAUGCUAAUUACUACUGUAUCCUCCUUUAGAUCUGUGCACACCUCCACUACCACCUUUAAAUCUGGCCACCAUCAUAAACUUUUCAUUUUCCUUCUCAAUUUUAAGAUCUGAUUGGCGCUGCAAUUCUAGCCGAAAAAGUAGCAGCGCCGCUAGCUGCCAACCUCAUCUUUUCUAUUUAUCUUCCACCAUGUGAGCAACCACAGGAUGGCACGAACAGGAACAGUGGCAAGAGCCCUCUCAUUUCCACUCGUUCGACGAAACUUUAUUUUUCCCGACGAAGUUUCGCUUUUUGCUCUAACAAUUAAAUUUUGUGACUUGAAUAUUAAUCUUAACCAGAUGCGGCAAGAUUCGAGCAGAUCUGGCAGGAAAUAACAAGUUUUGGUGACCCUUAUACGUCGGUGUCGUCUUCUCCUCGUUUUUUCUUUUUAUUUUUGUCUACAGAUUAUAGAUCUAAAAACAUAUGGUGAAACUCCACCAUUAUUUAAUCAGCUCGGAAUUUUGUUUUCCGACGACUUUGUGGUUUAGUGGAAUUUUGGUGUUUCCGGCAACCUUCAUGCUUCUGUUCAUUUGUUGUUAUGACUAAGCCCCAUUUUUUGUUCAUUUACGUUGGAUCUAAAUUGGUUAUUCAUUGGUGUUUUCCCUUCGUUUGCUGCUCUUGUUUGUUUGUAAAUGAUUUUAUUAGUAAUGUAUUCCUUCUGCUCUGUGUUCGUUUUCUGCUGCGUUUUGGGGGGGAAAAUGGCCGAAAAUUAAUUUUUCCGGUGAGGGGUAGUUGGGAAGACGACGACGAGUGGGGUUAAGUUAAAUCCACGUGUCCUCAUCAUAUUCGUCACUUCGGUGUGUGAAAUACACG